rnacentral:rRNA from 1 species
GAUGAACGCUGGCGGCGUGCCUAAUACAUGCAAGUCGAGCGAACGGACGAGAAGCUUGCUUUUCUGAUGUUAGCGGCGGACGGGUGAGUAACACGUGGAUAACCUACCUAUAAGACUGGGAUAACUUCGGGGAACCGGAGCUAAUACCGGAUAAUAUUUUGAACCGCAUGGUUCAAAAGUGAAAGACGGUCUUGCUGUCACUUAUAGAUGGAUCCGCGCUGCAUUAGCUAGUUGGUAAGGUAACGGCUUACCAAGGCAACGAUGCAUAGCCGACCUGAGAGGGUGAUCGGCCACACUGCAACUGAGACACGGUCCAGACUCCUACGGGAGGCAGCAGUAGGGAAUCUUCCGCAAUGGGCGAAAGCCUGACGGAGCAACGCCGCGUGAGUGAUGAAGGUCUUCGGAUCGUAAAACUCUGUUAUUAGGGAAGAACAUAUGUGUAAGUAACUGUGCACAUCUUGACGGUACCUAAUCAGAAAGCCACGGCUAACUACGUG